UUCGGGGACAUUGGUGACAGGUGGUGCAUGGUUGUCGUCAGCUCGUGUCGUGAGAUGUUGGGUUAAGUCCCGCAACGAGCGCAACCCUUGUCUUUAGUUGCCAUCAUUAAGUUGGGCACUCUAGAGAGACUGCCAGGGAUAACCUGGAGGAAGGUGGGGAUGACGUCAAAUCAUCAUGCCCCUUAUGCUUAGGGCUACACACGUGCUACAAUGGGUAGUACAGAGGGUUGCCAAGCCGUAAGGUGGAGCUAAUCCCUUAAAGCUACUCUCAGUUCGGAUUGUAGGCUGAAACUCGCCUACAUGAAGCUGGAGUUACUAGUAAUCGCAGAUCAGAAUGCUGCGGUGAAUGCGUUCCCGGGUCUUGUACACACCGCCCGUCACACCACGGGAGUUGGAGACGCCCGAAGCCGAUUAUCUAACCUUUUGGAAGAAGUCGUCGAAGGUGGAAUCAAUAACUGGGGUGAAGUCGUAACAAGGUAGCCGUAUCGGAAGGUGCGGCUGGAUCACCUCCUUUCUAAGGAGA
rnacentral:rRNA from 1 species